UACGUAGGGUGCAAGCGUUGUCCGGAAUUAUUGGGCGUAAAGAGCUCGUAGGCGGUCUGUCGCGUCGGCUGUGAAAACCCGGAGCUCAACUCCGGGCCUGCAGUCGAUACGGGCAAACUGGAGUGUUGCAGGGGAGACUGGAAUUCCUGGUGUAGCGGUGAAAUGCGCAGAUAUCAGGAGGAACACCGGUGGCGAAGGCGGGUCUCUGGGCCGAUACUGACGCUGAGGAGCGAAAGCAUGGGGAGCGAACAGG
rnacentral:rRNA from 1 species